CAAGGUGCGACUCGAGCGCCAGCGAGAAAGCGUUGCCGCAGGCAACGACCCGAAGGGUGAAGCGCGCAGCGCUGAGUAAUCCUUCCCCCACCACCA
rnacentral:sRNA from 1 species